AACUCACCGGAAAUUCUGUUCUUAAAAUGAUGAAGUUUAUUCUAGUUUACGGAGUAUUUAAAAGCAAGCUAUGCUGAGAGGAACAAUACUUGGAGAGAAAUACUGGAUGGAUGCACAGUUUGAGUGGUGGAAUUCCAGUGAAGUAAAGAUGAAUUUGUAAAGGGAACCAAGGCAAGGCAAGAUGCAAAUGUGAUGGUAUAGGAUGCAUCAUCACACCGGCCAGCUCUGACACAGGCAUGAAGUAGGCAUUUUUGCUCAGCAUCUGGGAUACUGCCUGAAAGAGUUGCAUGAAACAGUAUCAUCUUAGAGUAAUCCAAAUAUGGUAGAAACAAAUAUGAUUCAAUCUGUAGAUUGGCCAAAGGAGAAGAGAAAGGCAACUGAUUGAGAGGACUAAAAAUCUUAUGAAGAAGGUACUAAAUGAUGAUUAAGGAUGACAUUUCUAUUCAAUCUGUUUAAACAUCAACAACAAUAAUAAA